AGUGAACGCUGGCGGUAGGCCUAACACAUGCAAGUCGAACGGAAGCACAGUAAGAGCUUGCUCUUACGGGUGGCGAGUGGCGGACGGGUGAGGAAUACAUCGGAAUCUACUUUUUCGUGGGGGAUAACGUAGGGAAACUUACGCUAAUACCGCAUACGACCUACGGGUGAAAGCAGGGGAUCUUCGGACCUUGCGCGAUUGAAUGAGCCGAUGUCGGAUUAGCUAGUUGGCGGGGUAAAGGCCCACCAAGGCGACGAUCCGUAGCUGGUCUGGGAGGAUGAUCAGCCACACUGGAACUGAGACACGGUCCAGACUCCUACGGGAGGCAGCAGUGGGGAAUAUUGGACAAUGGGCGCAAGCCUGAUCCAGCCAUACCGCGUGGGUGAAGAAGGCCUUCGGGUUGUAAAGCCCUUUUGUUGGGAAAGAAAAGCAGCAGGUUAAUACCCCGCUGUUCUGACGGUACCCAAAGAAUAAGCACCGGCUAACUUCGUG
rnacentral:rRNA from 1 species